rnacentral:rRNA from 1 species
CGGCCACAUUGGGACUGAGACACGGCCCAGACUCCUACGGGAGGCAGCAGUGGGGAAUAUUGCACAAUGGGGGAAACCCUGAUGCAGCGACGCCGCGUGGAGGAAGAAGGUCUUCGGAUUGUAAACUCCUGUUGUUGAGGAAGAUAAUGACGGUACUCAACAAGGAAGUGACGGCUAACUACGUGCCAGCAGCCGCGGUAAAACGUAGGUCACAAGCGUUGUCCGGAAUUACUGGGUGUAAAGGGAGCGCAGGCGGGAAGACAAGUUGGAAGUGAAAUCUAUGGGCUCAACCCAUAAACUGCUUUCAAAACUGUUUUUCUUGAGUAGUGCAGAGGUAGGCGGAAUUCCCGGUGUAGCGGUGGAAUGCGUAGAUAUCGGGAGGAACACCAGUGGCGAAGGCGGCCUACUGGGCACCAACUGACGCUGAGGCUCGAAAGCAUGGGUAGCAAACAGGAUUAGAUACCCUGGUAGUCCAUGCCGUAAACGAUGAUUACUAGGUGUUGGAGGAUUGACCCCUUCAGUGCCGCAGUUAACACAAUAAGUAAUCCACCUGGGGAGUACGACCGCAAGGUUGAAACUCAAAGGAAUUGACGGGGGCCCGCACAAGCAGUGGAGUAUGUGGUUUAAUUCGACGCAACGCGAAGAACCUUACCAAGUCUUGACAUCCUGCGACGCACAUAGAAAUAUGUGUUUCCUUCGGGACGCAGAGACAGGUGGUGCAUGGUUGUCGUCAGCUCGUGUCGUGAGAUGUUGGGUUAAGUCCCGCAACGAGCGCAACCCUUACUGUCAGUUACUACGCAAGAGGACUCUGGCAGGACUGCCGUUGACAAAACGGAGGAAGGUGGGGAUGACGUCAAAUCAUCAUGCCCUUUAUGACUUGGGCUACACACGUACUACAAUGGCGUUAAACAAAGAGAAGCAAGACCGCGAGGUGGAGCAAAACUCAGAAACAACGUCCCAGUUCGGACUGCAGGCUGCAACUCGCCUGCACGAAGUCGGAAUUGCUAGUAAUCGUGGAUCAGCAUGCCACGGUGAAUACGUUCCCGGGCCUUGUACACACCGCCCGUCACACCAUGAGAGCCGGGGGGACCCGAAGUCGGUAGUCUAACCGCAAGGAGGACGCCGCCGAAGGUAAAACUGGUGAUUGGGGUGAAGUCGUAACAAGGUAGCCGUAGGAGAACCUGCGGCUG